UUCAUCGGUGGACAAUGACUUAAAGCAGGCUAAAGAAAAUAUUUGUACUGUAUCACAAAUGAAAAGAUUAGAAACAUGAUUAAUAUAGCAAUUGUACCCCCACUAUUACCUGCUAACUACUGCCAUAUCACAAGAUCCUUCUUGCAAAGACCUUCCUUCAGGGAACAGUAUGAGGAAAAAGGAGGCAGGUGGAGAAAGUGAUGAGAAGACAACAUAAAAAAAUUGACAUUCCUGUCAUUGAAUGAAAUUCUAUCCAGAGGAAUGUCGAAGGACGACCUACAGAUCCUGUGUGGUGCUCCAACAGUUUAACAGACUAAGGGAUAGGGGACUGUGAAGAUGAACAUGUUUGCAUAGAACGCCUUAUAUCUAGUUAAAUUGUUGUAUAUGUUUGCCGUGCAAUGGGGUGAAGCUGUCGGGGUGAGUGCGUUCCUCAGAUUAUAUCUAUUUACUUUGAUCUAGAACUAGAAAAAAUGGUGUCAUCGACUAUGAUCAGUACUAAACAUUUUCAAAUAUAUCAAGUACUUAACAUUUUCAACAAUAUGCAGUACUAAACAUUUUCAACUUUUUAACUAUAUGCAGUACUUCACUUUUUCAACUAUAUGCAGUGCUUAAUUUUUUCAACUAUAUGCAGUACUAAACUUUUUCAACUAUAUGCAGCACUUAACUUUUUCAACAAUAUACAGUACUUAACAUUUUCAACUAUAUGCAAUACGAAAAAUUUAUUUCAAAUUUGAAGCUUUCUUAUUUUCUCUCUACUACAUUUCAAUACAACUGCAGCAUCUGCUUCAAGCUCAACUGUUGUAACGACAUCUGGUGCAAUCGCUACAGCACCGAAUACAGAAACCAAUACAGCAGCGACUAUUGCAACCACUACAGCAUCGAAUACAGCAACCACUACAGCGACGACUGCAUCAUCCUCUACUGCAUCGUCUGGGGUGAACUCAAGCACAUUUGGUUCCAAUGCCAACACCACCCUUCAAACGACUACACAUUCCGGGACAGUCAACAUCCAUAUAGGAUUUCUGUGCAUUCUGCCGAUGUUGUUGAUCUCCAUGGCGACAUUGUUUUGAUGGUCAUGAUAGUAUAAUAAAUUGAGUGAUGCAGGUCAGUGCAGAAAAGCUUAUGAUCUUUAAAAAUAUUUAAACAUAUUUUGAUAACCCUAACCCUAUCACAUA
rnacentral:sRNA from 1 species